GGUGAGUAACACGUGGAUGAUCUACCUUCUAGUGGGGAAUAACCCUGGGAAACCGGGGCUAAUACCGCAUAAGCUCGAGAGAGGAAAGCAGCAAUGCGCUGGAAGAGGAGUCCGCGGCCGAUUAGCUAGUUGGCAGGGUAAAAGCCUACCAAGGCAGAGAUCGGUAGCCGGCCUGAGAGGGCACACGGCCACACUGGCACUGAAACACGGGCCAGACUCCUACGGGAGGCAGCAGUGGGGAAUCUUGCACAAUGGGGGAAACCCUGAUGCAGCGACGCCGCGUGAGCGAUGAAGCCCUUCGGGGUGUAAAGCUCUUUCGGCAGGGAAGAUGAUGACGGUACCUGCAGAAGCAGCUGCGGCUAACUACGUGCCAGCAGCCGCGGUAAUACGUAGGCAGCGAGCGUUGUUCGGAGUUACUGGGCGUAAAGGGUGCGUAGGCGGUUGUUUAAGUUUGGUGUGAAAUCUCCCGGCUCAACUGGGAGGGUGCGCCGAAUACUGAAUGACUAGAGUGCGGGAGAGGAGAGUGGAAUUCCUGGUGUAGCGGUGAAAUGCGUAGAUAUCAGGAGGAACACCGGUGGUGUAGACGGCUCUCUGGACUGUAACUGACGCUGAGGCACGAAAGCGUGGGUAGCAAACAGGAUUAGAUACCCUGGUAGUCCACGCCCUAAACGAUGCAUAUUUGGUGUGGGCAGUUCAGUCUGUCCGUGCCGGAGCUAACGCGUUAAAUAUGCCGCCUGGGGAGUACAGUCGCAAGGCUGAAACUCAAAGGAAUUGACGGGGGCCCGCACAAGCGGUGGAGCAUGUGGUUCAAUUCGACGCAACGCGAAGAACCUUACCUAGGCUCGAACGGCUGGUCAACGG
rnacentral:rRNA from 1 species